rnacentral:rRNA from 1 species
UACAGGGGGUGCAAACGUUGCUCGGAAUCAUUGGGCGUAAAGCGCACGUAGGCGGUCUGUUAUGUCGGAUGUGAAAGCCCUCGGCUCAACUGAGGAAGUGCAUCCGAAACUGGCAGGCUAGAGUACUAAAGAGGGUCGCGGAAUUCCCGGUGUAGAGGUGAAAUUCGUAGAUAUCGGGAGGAGCACCGGUGGCGAAGGCGGCGACCUGGGUAGAUACUGACGCUGAGGUGCGAAAGCGUGGGGAGCAAACAGG